GGAAGAUGGAAAUAAGAGAAAGAUUGUUUUCAGAGGAAGAGACAGGGAAGUGGUGAGGCAGGGAGUCAGGAGAUGCAGGUGGCAUGGAGAUGUAGGAGAGGAAGGCAGGCACAGGUUUGUAAUCCUACUCAAACAUGACCUACCUGCAGAAAAUGAGAGGACAUGUACUGUGACUUGACUUGUAAGGUGAGCACGAGCAUUGGACAUGAUAAAAAUACAGCUUUUGAAGAAACAGAAGAGUUGGGGAGAAUUUGGCUGAGAGAUACUGGGUGAUUGUUCUAGAUGAUAGAGAUAAAUUACACAUGGUAUUGUCUUCGUUGUGCUUAAUUUUUAAUUAUGUUGUGGGCACUAUACAUUAGAAAAGCUGGUAAGAAACUAAAUCAAGAUUUGACUUUCAAGUGCACCACUGACCCACAGACUUCCCGUGUCCUUGGGCAAAAUGCUUUCUCCUUUUUUUUUCUUCCUCUCACUGCUUCAUCUGUAAAACAGAGAUAACACUACUUCUUUUUUCACAGCCUAUUUACAUAAUAAAAGCCUUUCCAUGCA